rnacentral:lncRNA from 1 species
CUGAAUUCACCUACUAAUUUUACCCUCAGAGAAAGAGAGAGUCUUUGGAGAGUUGUGAGGAGAUAAGUGACAUAAACUGGCAUGUUCUGAAAGAAUCACUCUGGAUGCUGUGUGGAGAAAACACUGAAAAGGAAUUUGUUAUCUCGAUUAUGGAGGGCGACAAGUCCCACAGUCUGCCAUCUGCAGGAUGGAGAACCAGUCUUUAUAGGGGGAGAAUAAUUGACUCCAUUCAAGUGUUCGCUCCUGUUUCAAUCAACUAUGGCUGAAGAGUGAGGAGACAUUUGGAAUAAAUAUGGCUUCUGGGGGCCCAUUCCUAUGGAUCAGCAGCUGGCUUCUGGAGGCCCAUUCCUGUGAAUCGUCGAUCUCAUAGAAGAUAAUAUUGUUAGAAGGCUUACCUCAUUGAUGCUGAACAUCCUAAAAAGCUUCUGCUGCUUUGAGUCACUGAAAAAGACCAAGAAACAUGAAUUUAAAAAAAAAUUUCAAAUGUUAUAAAAUAAAUAAUAUGAACUCAUUAUACCUACAAUGAAUAAUUUAAAUUCUUCUUUGGUAGUCCAGGUAAAUAACUUCUCAAAUAGAUUUUUUUAAGCAUCUGUAUAAGUUCAAGAUGUACAUCACUUCAUGUAGAAUAACAUCUCCUAAAAAGAACUGAAAUGCCUCAGUAUACAACCAGCUGACCUGGCUAUCAAACACUUAUUUAGCACAUAUUACAUGAUGGACACUUUGAUGUAGAUACGGACCUUGGGUUGUGUCCUCAAGGAUCAUACAGUGGGUUGAGGAAAUAGGAUAUGCUAUCCAUAGGAAAGUAAAUAAUAAUAUGACAGCUUAUUUUCAAUGAGAAGUGAAUAGUACAAAGAAUAGGAGUUGCCAGAUUUCAAAAGGAAAGAGCUAUCACACAGAGGCGGAACAAUUAGAAAUUUUUCAUGAAGGAAGUGUUCUUUGUGCUGGACCUUUGAGAAAGUAUAGAAUGUAGAUUAGCAAAAAGGCAUGGAAAAGGCAUGAUAGGUAGGAGAGGCAAGUUAGGCAAAGGUCCAUUAGAAUUGCUCAAGAUAUAAUAGACCAACUUGGCCUGAAAAAGGCCUGGAAGUAUCCUCUUUUGUGCUCUGUGAGAAGUUUGCCACCAUGUAAAAAGUCUAACUACCCUAAGGCAACCAUGCUCUGAGAAGCCCAACCUAUC